AGCAGUGUGGCGCAGUGGAAGCGUGCUGGGCACAUUACCCAGAGAUCAAUGAAUCGAGACCAUUUCCUCCUU
rnacentral:tRNA from 1 species